AAGCAAAUAAGAGCGCACGGAGGAUGCCUUGGAUUCCAGAGGCGAUGAAGGACGUGUUAGGCUGCGAUAAGCCGUGGGUAGGUGCCUAAAAACCUUUGAUCCGCGGAUUUCCGAAUAGGACAACCUAUUAGAGCCCCUUCGGGGGAGGCAAACGAGGGGAACUGAAACAUCUAAGUACCCUUAGGAGAAGAAAACAAAAGUGAUUUCCUGAGUAGCGGCGAGCGAAAUGGAACUAGCCCAAACCAGUGUGAUUUCGGUCAUAUUGGGGUUGUAGGACUUUCAACAUCUGUGCAUAUACUGAACUGGAACACGAUGGGAAACGUGGCGAUACAAGGUGAUAGCCCUGUACAGGUAAGGUAUAGUAUGGUAGAGAGCUUCCUGAGUAGGGCGGGGCACGUGAAACCCUGUCUGAAUCUGC
rnacentral:rRNA from 1 species